rnacentral:rRNA from 1 species
AACGAACGCUGGCGGCAGGCUUAACACAUGCAAGUCGAACGCCCCGCAAGGGGAGUGGCAGACGGGUGAGUAACGCGUGGGAACGUACCUUUCAGUUCGGAAUAACUCAGGGAAACUUGUGCUAAUACCGGAUACGCUCGCAAGAGGAAAGAUUUAUCGCUGAAAGAUCGGCCCGCGUUGGAUUAGCUAGUUGGUGGGGUAAUGGCCUACCAAGGCGACGAUCCAUAGCUGGUCUGAGAGGAUGAUCAGCCACACUGGGACUGAGACACGGCCCAGACUCCUACGGGAGGCAGCAGUGGGGAAUAUUGGACAAUGGGCGAAAGCCUGAUCCAGCCAUGCCGCGUGAGUGAUGAAGGCCCUAGGGUUGUAAAGCUCUUUCACCGAUGAAGAUAAUGACGGUAGUCGGAGAAGAAGCCCCGGCUAACUUCGUGCCAGCCGCCGCGGUAA